rnacentral:rRNA from 1 species
GCGGCCUAUCAGCUUGUUGGUGAGGUAAUGGCUCACCAAGGCGACGACGGGUAGCCGGCCUGAGAGGGUGACCGGCCACACUGGGACUGAGACACGGCCCAGACUCCUACGGGAGGCAGCAGUGGGGAAUAUUGCACAAUGGGCGAAAGCCUGAUGCAGCGACGCCGCGUGAGGGAUGACGGCCUUCGGGUUGUAAACCUCUUUCAGUAGGGAAGAAGCGAAAGUGACGGUACCUGCAGAAGAAGCGCCGGCUAACUACGUGCCAGCAGCCGCGGUAAUACGUAGGGCGCAAGCGUUAUCCGGAAUUAUUGGGCGUAAAGAGCUCGUAGGCGGUUUGUCGCGUCUGCCGUGAAAGUCCGGGGCUCAACUCCGGAUCUGCGGUGGGUACGGGCAGACUAGAGUGAUGUAGGGGAGACUGGAAUUCCUGGUGUAGCGGUGAAAUGCGCAGAUAUCAGGAGGAACACCGAUGGCGAAGGCAGGUCUCUGGGCAUUAACUGACGCUGAGGAGCGAAAGCAUGGGGAGCGAACAGGAUUAGAUACCCUGGUAGUCCAUGCCGUAAACGUUGGGCACUAGGUGUGGGGGACAUUCCACGUUUUCCGUACCGUAGCUAACGCAUUAAGUGCCCCGCCUGGGGAGUACGG